rnacentral:rRNA from 1 species
GACAGAGGUGGCAAGCGUUGUUCGGAUUUACUGGGCGUAAAGAGUGCGUAGGUGGUGAGGUAAGACCUGUGGGAAAGACCUGGGCUUAACCCAGGAAGGUCGCAGGUGACUGCCUCGCUUGAGGACGGGAGAGGAGAGCGGAAUUCCCGGUGUAGCGGUGAAAUGCGUAGAUAUCAGGAGGAACACCGGUGGCGAAAGCGGCUCACUGGCCGGAAACUGACACUGAGGUGCGAAAGCUAGGGUAGCAAACGGG